rnacentral:rRNA from 1 species
UACGUAGGGUGCGAGCGUUGUCCGGAAUUACUGGGCGUAAAGAGCUCGUAGGUGGUUUGUCGCGUUGUCCGUGAAAACUCACAACUCAAUUGUGGGCGUGCGGGCGAUACGGGCAGACUGGAGUACUGCAGGGGAGACUGGAAUUCCUGGUGCAGCGGUGGAAUGCGCAGAUAUCAGGAGGAACACCGGUGGCGAAGGCGGGUCUCUGGGCAGUAACUGACGCUGAGGCGCGACAGCGUGGGGAGCAAACAGG